GAACACGACAGCAAGCGUGCAAACAUCCUCAUGACUUAAUGCCAGCCACAGAGAUCACAGAGAGCGUCAUGCUCCUUUCCACCGGAUAACUUCUACAGGGCAUCGCACAGGAAUGGAGCGCUUGCUGUACCAGGUCUCCCGGUGACAAUUCCAGACACUCACAGACGGAGGAGGAGCUGUCACUUGGCAAUGGCCAAGAGGCCUCCUUGGGAUCUUUUCAUGCCAGAAAGGUAGCAGAGCGUGAUGGAUACUCAUGGAAUGUGUGGGUCAUAAAUCCAGCCUGGGAACAGUAGAGAUGGCUUGUCUCUGCUCUACAUGAUCCUGGGCCUCAGCUGGAAAGAUUUGACACUGAGAACUGGAAUCAUCUGAAGGCUCAAUCUGGAGCCGGUGCUGGGAUGACUCAAAGGCUUGGACUACCCACUAAGGCAUGCCCACGUGGCCUCUCUCUGCACCUUGGACUUCCUCACAGCAUGGCGGCCUCAGGGUAGUGGGACUUCCUAGAGGUGGGGGGCUCUAGGCGCCAGUGUCCCACUGGCUCAGCCUCAGAAGUCACACAGUGCUGCUCUGUGCACUGGUUGAAGCAGUCACAAGCCCACUUUGAUCUCAAGGAAGGAAACAAAGAAUUGUGGAGCCAUGUU